rnacentral:misc_RNA from 1 species
GAUGAAGAACGCAGCGAAAUGCGAUAAGUAAUGUGAAUUGCAGAAUUCAGUGAAUCAUCGAAUCUUUGAACGCACAUUGCGCCCGCCAGUAUUCUGGCGGGCAUGCCUGUCUGAGCGUCAUUUCAACCCUCAUGCCCCUAGGGCGUGGUGUUGGGGAUCGGCCAAAGCCCGCGAGGGACGGCCGGCCCCUAAAUCUAGUGGCGGACCCGUCGUGGCCUCCUCUGCGAAGUAGUGAUAUUCCGCAUCGGAGAGCGACGAGCCCCUGCCGUUAAACCCCCAACUUUCCAAGGUUGACCUCAGAUCAGGUAGGAAUACCCGCUGAACUUAAGCAUAUCAAUAAACGGAGGA